AGGAAAAGAAACUAACCAGGAUUCCCCUAGUAACGGCGAGUGAAGCGGGAAGAGCUCACGUUGUAAAUCUGGCCUUCGGGCCCGAAUUGUAGUCUGUAGAGGCGAGGCCAGCCGGCGACCGAGGCGAAGUCUCUUGGAAAAGAGCAUCAAGGAGGGUGAUAAUCCCGUUCUUGCCCCGGCCCCGCCGCGCGUACGGUCCGUUUUCUAAGAGUUGGGUUGCUUGGGAUUGCAGCUCAAAGCGGGUGGUAAAUUCCAUCUAAAGCUAAACACGGGGGGGAGACCGAUAGUGAACAAGUACCGUGAGGGAAAGAUGCAAAGAACUUUGAAAAGAGAGUUAAAGAGUGCCUGAAAUUGCUGAAAGGGAAGCGAAGGAAAGCAGUGUCUUGUGCGGCUUCGCUUCUCCGGGUUUUUGCCUUCGGGCCCCCGGUUUGCGUUUCCGUCGUUGCCANNGCCGGGUCUUUUUGCGGGAUGCUUCGCCUCGGGAGGUAGCGUCUUGUUUCGGCGAGCGUGAAUACCUUGGUGUUUUGUGUCGUGAUUGGGGCCGUGCGUUGACGAAAUGUUUUUCUUUAC
rnacentral:rRNA from 1 species